UAUACACUUUUUGUCUCUCUUAUAGAACAACGCAAAGCAAAAAUGAAAUUCGUCUUACUUCUUGCUGUUGUAAUAAUGGCUAUUUAUUAUGUUGAUGCUAAACAAUGUUCAUACGACGAAGUAAAAUGCGGAGACGAAUGUAUUCAUUUGACGGAUUACCGCUGCUGCGAUGGAAAACCAAGAAAAAACAAUGAAUACGGAGAAUGUGGAAAUACGUGUUUCCACUUUACCAACGAAAUAUGUUGUAAUGGCGUUCCUCUUCCAUCAGACGAAUGGAGGAAUUGUGGAGGAGUUUGCAAAAAAGUGAAGCAAUGUUGAUCAAUUUGAUAAUUUUUGUUGUCGAAUAUUGAAUAGGUUAAAUAAAAUUUAUUUGAUUAUUACCUAUCAAUCUCAUUUAUAAAUAUCGAAAUACAAAGUUUCAAAAUUUUUUUUUC
rnacentral:lncRNA from 1 species